rnacentral:rRNA from 1 species
ACUCUCGACAACGGAUAUCUCGGCUCUCGCAUCGAUGAAGAACGUAGCGAAAUGCGAUACUUGGUGUGAAUUGCAGAAUCCCAUGAACCAUCGAGUCUUUGAACGCAAGUUGCGCCCGAAGCCAUUAGGCCGAGGGCACGUCCGCCUGGGCGUCAUGCAUCGCGUCGCCCCCGCACACCGCGCCCAUUCUCAUAGUCGCGAUGGUGUCGUGGGACAGAUAAUGGCCUCCCGUGCGCCCCGAGCGUGCGGUUGGCCUAAAUGUGAGUCCACGGCGACGGACGUCACGACAAGUGGUGGUUGAAACUCAACUCUCGUAAUUUCGCGGCUCCAACACGUAGCAUGUUUGGGCUCCCUGACCCUUAUCGCGCUUAGGCGCACCGACCGCGACCCCAGGUCAGGCGGGACUAACCGCUGAGUUUAAGCAUAUCAAUAAACGGAGGAAAAGAAACUUACAAGGAUUCCCCUAGUAACGGCGAGCGAACCGGGAACGACCCAGCCUUAGAAUCGGGCGGCUCCGCCGUCCAAAUUGUAGUUUGGAGAAGCAUCCUCAGCGGCGGACCGGGCCCGAGUCCCAUGGAAGGGGGCGUAAGAGAGGGUGAGAGCCCCAUUGUGCCCGGACCCUAUCGCACCACGAGGCGCUGUCUACGAGUCGGGUUGUUAGGGAAUGCAGCCCAAAUCGGGCGGUGAAUUCCGUCCAAGGCUAAAUACGGGCGAGAGAUCGAUAGCGAACAAGUACCGCCAGGGAAAGAUGAAAAGGACUUUGAAAAGAGAGUCAAAGAGUGCUUGAAAUUAUCCGGAGGGAAGCGGAUGGGGGACGGUGAUACGCCCCGGUUGGAUGUGGAAUGGUGUUGAGCCGAUCCGCCAUUGACUCGGGGCGUGGACCAGCGUGGAUUGGUGGGGCAUCCAAAGCCCAGGCCAUUGAUACGCCCGUGGAACGCCGUCUCUUCGAUUAUGGUAGGCAGCGCGCGCCUCUGUCGUGCUUCGGCAUCUGCGCGCUCCGGACGCUGGCCUGUAGGCUCCCCAUUCGACCCGUCUUGAAACACAGAACAAGGAGUCUGACAUGUCUACGAGUCAACGGGCGAGUAAACCCGUAAGGCGUAAGGAAGCUAAUUGGUGGGAUCCCCCUGAAGGGUGCACCGCCGACCGACCUUGAUCUUCUGUGAAGGGUUCGAGUGUGAGCAUACCUGUCGGGACCCGAAAGAUGGUGAACUAUUCCUGAGCGGGGCGAAACCAGAGGAAACUUUGGUGGAGGCCCGCAGCGAUACUAACGUGCAAAUCGUUCGUCUGACUUGGGUAUAGGGGCGAAAGACUAAUCGAACCGUCUAGUAGCUGGUUCCCUUAGAAGUUUCCCUCAAGAUAGCUGGAGCUCGCGUGCGAGUUCUAUCGGAUAAAGCCAUUGAUUAGAGGCAUCGGGGGCGCAAUGCCCUCGACCUAUUCUCAAACUUUAAAUAGGUAGUACAGCACGACUGCUUUGGUGAGCCGCGCCACGAAAUCAAGAGCUCCAAGUGGGCCAUUUUCGGUAAGCGGAACUGGCGAUGCGGGAUUAACCGGAUGCCCCCGGUGGCCCUUGAAAAUUCGGAGGACCGAGUGCCGUCUACGCCCACUUGUACUCAUAACCGCAUUAGGUCUCCAAGGUGAACAUCCUCUGGUCGAUGGAAAAAUGUAGGCAUAGGAAGUUGGCAAAAUGGAUCCGUCACUUUGGGAAAAGGAUUGGCUGUAAGGGUUGGGCAUGGGGGUCCUUGGUCCCGAACCCGUCGGCUGUCGGGGGACUGCUCGAGCUGCUACCGCGGCGAGAGCGGGUCGCUGCGUGCCGGCCAGGGACGGACUAGGAACGGUUCCUUUGGGGAAUCUGACUGUUUAAUUAAAACAAAGCAUUGCGAUCCCUACGGAUGUUUAUGCAAUGUGAUUUCUGCCAGUGCUCUGAUUGUCAAAGUGAAGAAAUUCAACCAAGCGCGAGUAAAUAGCGGGAGUGACUAGAAGCGACGCAUGCGCCCGCCGUCCGCUUGCCGACCCGCAGUAGGGGCCUCUGGCCCCCAAGGGCACGUGUCGUUGGCUAAGCGUCCCCCUCCAAACCAAUUAAUUUCUAANCUACGACGUCUUGACUUGUCCUGCGAUGCCCUGACACGUGCCAUGGCUAUAUUAUACUAAGUGUUGGAAAAUCGAACAAGUCCUCAAGACCUUGGAACGUAUACUAUUUGUGUAUUGAGCGGCCAGUGUGACUUGACACUUAGUCAUGUCGAGGGAAAGGCUAAACCAAAUGUCGUGAGUAGAGGUUUAUCGGGGCAUCGCUUAUGUCGCCGAGGCCUAUGUCAAUGGCGGUGUGCCAAUACAAUGUCGCAAGUAGAGGUUUAUCGGGGCAUCGCUUGCAUCGCCGAGGCCUAUGCCGAGGGCGAUGUGCCAAUACAAUGUCAUAAGUAGAGGUUUAUCGGGGCGUCGCUUGCGUCGCCGAGGCCUAUGCCGAGGGCGAUGUGCCGAUAUAAUGUCGCAAGUACAGGUUUAUCGGGGCGUCGCUUGUGUAACCGCAAUGUCGCAAGUAGUUUAUCGGGGCGUCGCUUGCAUCGCCGAGGCCUAUGCUGAGGGCGAUGUGCCGAUACAAUGUCGCAAGUAGAGAUUUAUCGGGGCGUCGCUUGU